UAUGUAGUAAGAUGUACAAGGGCAGCACAGUAAGUCUAUAGUCAAAAGAUGCACUAAUCAAAGUUGCCUCUACAAAUUGAUUUCCUCUUCUGGUGAAUAUGCAGAUUUCUAACACUUUCUUGGGAACCUUUAUUGGCCGCUCUGGGCAAACAAGGUAAAUUUCCAUGCGGCAGAUUUGUUGAAGAAAUUUGUAAGAGAAAAUCUUUUCCAUUCAUCUGAAUGAGGCUGUUGCUACAGCAUGUGCAUGAAAUUCUGGAAGCCCCAUUCAUCUCAAAGGGAAACCUGACAUGCAAAAAUACCUUAAUAAACUGGCACCUAAGGAUCAGCAAAAGAUGAGUGAAGGACAGAAGGAAGGACGUGCUGCGCUCACACAAUGUAAACACACAAUUCUUGAGAGCUUUUGAUUUCAGGGUAUUUAUUCUUUAAACACCCUUUAUAUUCAACAUAAAAAAUGGCAAAUUAGAAGAAAGCACAGCAGUGUCUAGAAACAGCAAAUUCAUUAAAAUAGAACUCACACUUUACAGCUUGUAAGAUCAAACUGAAAAAGACAAGUCUAGUAAAGAAAUGGUACUAAGAAAUGACAAACGCCGAUCCAGCACGUUGGAGGA